GGAAAUGGAAUGCGUAGGGAACAUAUGAUCAGGAAACUGGAAAUUGAAAUAGUAUUUUAAAUGUUUAUAUCUACUUAAAAAUCUAGUUAAAAGGAAUUAAUUUUGCUAAAAUAUAAAAAAAAUGAAUGAUAUAAAAGAAAAUAAAUGUGCAAAGUCAUAACAAUUAUUGGCUCAGAAAUUUAAAGUCAUAGUCAUUGUAAUACUAGUGGAAAGACUGAGAUGAUGAAGUCUCAACUAGAAGAAUAUUCUCUCCCAAUAAUCAGUGUCAGACACAAACUGCACUAUAGGUGUCCAAAGCACAGAGGAGAUGAUUAACUUGAGUUAGGGACAGAAUAUUUGUUUUUCCCUUCUCCUUAGUACCUUUUCUUCUUGACAAAAAGAGUAAAGGUCCUUAGCUCUCAUUAAAACAACUGUGCCUUUCACAACACUUGGUUUUUGGAAUAAAGAAAUGAACGAUAUAAUCCCUCAGGAACCAUAAGAACAGGAAAGUCCUGUUGUUUCUGAGAGUCUCCAAGCUCAUGAUUCCCUUAUUUAUAAGGCUCAGAUUAAGGCUAUCUUUUCAGCGAUAUCACUCAAGCCCUACAAAGGACUCACUGAACUUUCCAAAGGACCACAUUUUUCUUCCUUAUUUUUUAUACCAAGACAGAAGGCCCGCUUCCUUCUCCCCAUUUCCAAACACUUCUUCCUCUUUGUUACCACACCACAAUUUGCUCUGAAUUAGAGAAUAUUAGUAAAACCUAUUGGUGAAGGAAUAACUGAGAGGCAGUUGCAGUCACGACAAUAGUUGUGACAUCACAGAAGCUAGGACGCUCAAGGUUACAAGAGAGUUUUCAGGGAGGUCCUAAUGAUUAUGGCACUGAGAACUGCUGUGGACUACCUGCUGAACACAUUUCCUUACAUUGACCAGAUUCGAAUUUUCACUUUCCAAGUAUGUCUCCCGUUACACAGUUGAAACCUAUACAUAACACAUCUCUCUAAAGCUAGAGACUUCUCUCUGCUUCACAAGUGGUUACAUGCUCUGAAUGGAGAAAAUUAGAGAGGGUAGAAAAGAUUUAGGAACAUGGAGUGUAGGAGAUAAUUCUAGAUAAUAUUUUUUUUGGUUCUUUUUUUUGGAGCUGGGGAUCGAACCCAGGGCCUUGCGCUUCCUAGGUAAGCGCUCUACCACUGAGCUAAAUCCCCAGCCCCUCUAGAUAAUAUUUUUAUUCCCAGUUUCAUUCCGUUGAUAUAAAGUUCAAUUUUCUGUGUUUUCUCUGUUUCCCAAAGGCCAGUAUUUUCCCUACAGACCUUUAAUUGAAUGAAUAUUGUAUUUCAAUUCCUUAUGUUUAAUUCCUUGAUAGGGGGUUUUGUAAAUAUUCCUCAAUGUGUACUCAAUAAUUCUGUUUUCUAAUUUCAUUUUCUGCAAUGAUUUUUGUCACAAAGUGGGCCCAGCUAUAUAGUGAGUAUAACAGCAUAAAUACUGUAAAACUACUUCAAAUGAUAAACUCACAAAUAUUUAUUUUAAUAAAAAAAUUACCAGACAUCAGGAAAUCAAAAACAACAUGGACUAUUGUAUUUGGUUAUCUAAUCCCAUUUGAUAUCAGUACUACACUAUCUAGCUUCCAGUUUUCCCAUAGCCAGAACUGAGGGUUUAGGAUGUUUUACCAAGAUUCUUUCUUAAAACCAAAUGUAAGAUACCAGAUGAUGGGCAGGAAGAAGAAUGGCUUGAGGACCAGUUAUACGUCUACUUCAAUAGGUUCAUAAAAACAGGACGGAAUCUAUUUGCAUUGUCAUUUCUUAAUUCUACAUUCUUCACAUAGUUCAGCAAAAUCCAUGUAAACAUUCCACUUGACAAAAUAGGUGUAAGAGCCACCAAAAUUAUAUUUGUACUCAUCAGCCAAACAAACUAGAUAAGAUUGAUGAAGGUAAGAAGUUCAUUCUGCAAGGAACCAGGUAUAAAUAUUUACUGAGAGAUACAGAUACAGCCUGUCAAAUACAAAAGUGAAUGCUGGGACAUACCAGUUAACUGAACACAGACCUCUUGUUGGUAAAUUUUGAAAAAGGAUUCAAAGAGCUGAAGGUGCUUUCAACCCGAGAAGAAUAACAAUGCCAGUGACCAGCGCUUUCUUAUAAUAGACAGAUUUACAAAGAAAGUACAUGGACUAACCUAUGGCUCCAAAUGCCUAUGUGGCAGAAAAUGGCCUUUUUGGGCAACAUUGGAAAGAGAAGCUCUUGUAUUCCCUACUUUGUCUCCCAGUUCAAGGGAAUGCAUUGCGGCAGAAAGGCUGGUUUGAAAAGAAGGAAAUGGAACGGGUAGGAACCUUAUGGGCAGGAAACUGGGAAAGGAAAUAAUAUUUUAAAAGUAAAUAUAGAAACAUCCAGUUAUAAAACAAUAAAUUUUGGUAAAAAAUAAAAAAAAGAAUGAUAUGAAAGAAAGAAAGCUGCCAAGUAAAAAGACAUCUUGACACAGAAAUCUGAAGUGUUAUUCAGAGUAAUACUAGUGGAAAGACUGAGAUGAUGAAGUCUCAACUACAAAUACUUCUCUAUCCCAGAUAUCAGUGUGAGAGACAAACUGUACUAUAGGUAUCCAAAGCGUGGAGGAGUUUAUUCAGAACUAGGGAUACAAUACUUGUUUUUCCCUUCUUCCUUAGGACCUUUUCUUCUUGAAAAAAAGAGUAAGGGUCAUGAGUUCUCAGGAAAACAACUGUGCCCUUCACAACACUUGGCUUUUGGUAUAAAGAAAUUAAUGAUAUAAACUCUCUUAUUUCAAGGAACCAUAAGAACAGAGAAGUCCAGAUAAGAACAGAGACGUGGAAAUGCUUCUGAGAGUCUCCCAGCUCCUGAUUCCCUUAUGUGGAAGACUCAGAUCAAUGCUAUCUCUUCAGCGAUAUCACUCAAACCCUACAAAGGACUCACUGAACUUUCCAAAGGACCACAUAUUUCUUCCUUGUUUUUUAUACCAGGAAAGAAGAUCAGCUUUUUUCUCCCUAUUUCUAUUCUCUUCAUCGUCUUUGUUAUCACUCCCAAAUGUGCUCUGAAGUAGAGGCCUAUUAGUAAACCCUAGAAGUACUGAAAGAAUAUCUCAGAGGAAGUUGCAGUCACAACAACACUUGUGACAUCACAGAAGAAUCUAGUGCUCUCCAGGUUAGAAGAGAGUUUUCAGGGAAUGCCUAACAAUGAUGUCACUGAAAACUGUCAUGGCCUACCUGAUGAACACCUUUCCUUACAUUGACCAGAUUCAAGUUUGCACUUUAUAGGACCUUUUCUUCUUGCGAAAAAGUGUAAAGGUCAUGAGUUCUCAGGAAAACAACUGUGCCCUUCACAACACUUGGCUUUUGGAAUAAAGAAAUAAAUGAUAUAAA